GAAAGCCCUAUGAUGGGAAAUUACCACGUUAGGUUUGGAGAGAGAUGGGACCGGUUAUAUAAUAGGGAAAGCAGAAGUAAGCUUUUUCUUUCAAUAGCCGGCCAAAUGACUACACGAUCAUCGGUCUACUCUAC
rnacentral:ncRNA from 1 species